UUCUCCUCACCCCACUCUCUUCUUCUCCCACUCCAUCUGACUGAGUGUGCGACUCCUCUCAGCGCCACACGACGUGCCCUCUCCCUCGUGCCUCCUCUGAGCGCCGUGGCUCCUCCUUAUCUCAAGCGGUGCUGCCGCUCCUCUCCACCUCGAGCAAUGCCGCCACCCUCUCCUUCUCUCUCUCCCUCUUCCUCGCUCAGCUCACCGGCACAGUGGGUGCGACUCUCACUUCCGAUAGCGGCGUCCAUGGAGAACACAACCCCCGGCGGCAGGAUCCGGUAGACGGCGGCCUGAUCCAUGGUGGGAGUGCAGAUCGGCAGUAGAUUCUGGUGGAGGUCAGCCGGAUCCAUGGUGUGCGCACCCCUGGCUACUGGAUCUAGUGGAAGGUGGCCAGAUCCAUGGUGGGCGCGUCACUCGGCGAUUGGAUGUGGUGGAGGUUGGCCGGAUGUAUGGCAGGGGUGCACCCCAACGACUGGAUUCAGUGGAUGGUGGGCAGAUCCAUGGCGGGUGCACCCCCAGCUUUGAAUCCAGCACUGGUGCACUUUUUUUUGAAGGUCAACGGGGGGAACUGCUCCCCACCUGAAUUUUAUUUCUUAUGUUGGCCCUUAUGUUGAAUCCAGCACUGGUGCACUUUCUCGGCAGUGGAUCUAGGGCAGGCUCGUCUUCUGACGGCGGAUCCAAGGCAGGAGCGGUAUCUGGCGGCGUAUCCAGCAACGACAAUGGCCGGUGGUGGCACGUGGAUUAUUGGCUCGACGGGCCUUUCCAUGGGUUUUUUUAUUUUUUAUUUGAUUAAUCGAGGGAAGCAUCUCUGCCUUAGUAAAGAUUUUAUUUGUCGUGACCUUUAGACCGAGGCAGUUGUGAUGCCGCCUUGUUAAAUUCAUUUUGGCCACUUUGGAAAAGGUUUAGUAGUAGUGAAACUAAAUUGCAUCCUUUGUUUCAACAGGUUGAAUGCUGGCGGGAACCAUUGAAGCAGUGAAGCUGCAGAAAGUGGCACUGCAGUGGUGAUGAGGCGCGGCGCUAGAGCUUAGUAGCGGGAUGGGGGCACAGUGCAGCGCGGCCACUGCACCACAACCUUUAAUCAGUGACUGACUUGAAGUUGAUGUAAGAGGUUGGAGUUGGAGCUAGAGAUGGGCGGUGGCGGAAUGCUACAACACUUGGCGGCGGGUGCGUGUUCCUGUUUGCUCUUUUACAACAGUCGAGUGAACUAUAAUAAAUUGUCCUGAUUAUUCUAAGUCCACAAUCUUAAUUCCAUAGCUGUGUUCCAUGGAUCACAUUCCGAGCGACCUUGAAACUAUAAUCCUAAAGAGGUAUACCCCAUAAUGAUCUGGGAACUUAAAAUUAUCGAUCAACGUCCCAGGUACCACGUUCCUUGUACCUUUUGUAUCGAAAACUAUGUCAUUGUGGGUACAGGGGUUGAAUUGCAGAAAAUCAGGAGUGGACCGAUGACCGAGUCAGUUUGCAGCUUGUUAUGCAGCCACCCCCCCCCCCCCUCCACAACUUCGGAUCAGCGGCACCAUGAUCCAAUCAGCUGUAACAAGCAGAGGUGAGCUGGGCACAUGAGUGCAGCUGACAUCUGCAGCUGACAGCAUUCGGCAACAGACAGCCAUUCCAGAUUCCUCCUAUUCCAACACAUGCAUGGUUUGGCCAUGGUUUUCUAGGUUCACAUCAGUGAUAAGUUGGGUUUGGUUUGGCGCUGCUAGCCAGAUAUUUAUAUACUACAAGCAGAUGAAAGGACCCCAUGGCACAACUGUUGUUUGGGUGUAGCAAUGUUAGGAGGCAGAGAGUCUCUACAAUGGGCUUGUUUGGCACAGCUCAACUUCACUAGUAAAGCUGUUUUUUAGAAAAUAGCUUCAUGAGCAAUUUUCUAGAUGAAGCUGAGCUGUUUUCGAGAAAGUGUUUGGUAAAAUAGCUUCACCAACUACUUCAUGCAUAGUUGAGAGAGAGAAAUGAGGGAGAGAGCUGCAAUAAGCUACUUUUUUUAGCUUCAUCCCAACUCAUUUCUUUGUGAGAGGAGAAGAAAAACAACUUCACCCAUGAAGCUGUUUUGGAAAUAAGUGUUUGACAAAAAAACAGCUCACAACGGCUCAUGAAGCUGUUGUGAGCCCAAACAGGCCCUAAAUAUAAGCAGGGAUAAGUGUAUGGUUGACUAGGUGGUUGCAUGAAUUUGCUUCAUCUCACCUAACAUGAGAUAUGGAUAUACUUCGCCAGUCUGUCCUGCAUGUUGUAUAUAUACAUCCAUACCUAACCAUGGUAUACACUCCCGCAUAUUGCAGCAGUGAAUUUAUCUUAAAAAAUGGUAAAGGAGUUGCCAUUUUAUGUUAUUACAUAACAGAAAAAGGUUUAUAGGACCGCACAAGAGAAAUGAGCAGCUAAAAGAUACAGCCCCUAACUUCGGGUACUAACUAGGAACCCACUUAAAAUCACUAUCGCAACAUGUAUUGCAGUAGGAAUACUACAAAAGAUGUCAGAGUAUGUGCUGCAACCAAUGGUGUCUGUUGAGCAUUGAUUUUUUGCAAAGGAGAAUUUAAGUCUUGAUAUAGGGAGACAAACCAAUAAAUGAAAUUCUAAGCACUUGAGAGAAUGCUACUCUUUUUCUUUUAUGGGAAUUAGACGGCUCGAUUGUCCAUGCUUUAGUUUUACAGAAUGAGAGCUUGGAAGUAUUUGUUCUUUGCUUUAUUGAACACAUAACUUGAGAUGCAUACUACUUCAUGACUGGAAAUACUCGCCCUUCUGAAACUUGGGAAUGUUAACUCAAGAAACAACAGGUAUCAUAAGCAUCUUGAUUUCUACUGAUUUACGUGUCCGCUAGAAUGGUACUCUGUACCACAUUAGCUCUCUCAUUGAUACUUUGCUAUUACCUAUGUAUUAAACUGACCCCGUUGUUUUUGGAACAAUUUUGCCCUUAGUCUGUAGUUAGUUUGGAUGUCUGAAUGAGUCAACUAUAUAUAUACAACCAUCGGAAUCAGAAGGUCCAAUUUUAGUCAACCAGCUCAUUGUGCUGGACAGAUUGGCUCACUAGUACAUAAAUCUCAUCACCAUUAGUUCAAAACCCAUUUUAAGAAUCGAUCAGUAUAGGGUCUAUUUGAUUUUAUUUCAAAUCGAGCCAGGCUCGUACGUGCGAACCAGGUUGUCUCACCACUCAACCUAAGGUCGUGCAAAAGAGUCUUGUUUGGAUGGCAGGACACACCUGUGCUAAGUGAACGUUGCUGUUUGGUUUUGGUUGUAUGUACGUAUCAUGCAAAAGGAGAGAUGAACGCACUCAGUGUUUCAACCACCCCUGAUGGAAAUGAAAACACGGUGUUGCCUGUGUUGACUAUGCCACUAAACCUGCCACUCUUGAGCCUACUCUGCUGCCAUCCCAAAGGAGAGAGGGCCACAUCACCAACUAUGCCACUAAACCUGCCACUCUUGAGCCUACGCUGCUGCCAUCCCAAAGGAGAGAGGGCCACAUCACCACAGUGAGUACGGUGGCCGGCGGGCAACAGGGGUGAGAGUCUAUGUUGGGAAGUAGCGCACUGCACUCCUCAGCAACACGGUGAAUCAAGAGCCUUCUCACCCGAUGCCGUGAGAGGCUAAGCAACAGUGAACAGUGGAAUCAACAGUAGGUGAAAAACAAUGAAUGCUCUACUCUGUUUAAAGACGGUAUCACGCCCCUUAUAUAGGGCUCGAAAACCGACCUAAGACAAUUACAGAAAUGCCCCGUGACGGUGGGGGAAUAUCCCAGCAUAUUAUAUUACAGUCUACUGACCCUAGGCCAUUCAUGUAAUUUCACACUACGAACCCUGCAUGUGCCCCCUGUCUAGGGCUUCAGCUGGUCGAGGAGUGCAGUGCGCUACUUUCCAACAUUGGCGCCCACCGUGGGGCCCGAAGCAUCACCUACGAUGGCUGGGAAGAGAUCAAGCACCACAAGACCACGAGCGGAGUCCACCAAGAGAGGAAGGCCGAGGAGGGCCAUGCAGAGUGCGUAUGCAACCGCGGAGCAGGAGGGCCCUAAGGAUGUGCAGCCGGAGGAUGUGCAACCAGAGGCUGGCCAGGACCCUCCUCCCACCGCGGGGCCGGCACAACCCACGGCAGCUCAAGAGCUUUAGCUGCUGCAAGCGCAGCUGUAGAACCUUCAACGAGAGCGAGACCAGAUCGCUGUCGUCUACGCCGCCAGCCAGGAGGCAGCGCUAGCAGCAGCGCAAGCAACUGAGAUCAGGCAGCAGCUUUCAAUCUUGCAAGCAGAGAUCAGUAGCAUGCAGCCUCCACCCUAGCCUACAAUCCAGCCCGCUGUUUUACCCAGCGUCGGUCCAACGGUAAAUGUGCUGCCGGGAAGCUACGGUGGCACGCUGCGGAGCACAUUGGACCUUCGUUCCCCUCUGUCCGAAGGAUUGCAGACCUCACCCUGGCCGGCUACCUACAAGCCAAUCACGCUCCCCAAGUUCAACCGAAAGACAGACCCUCGCCAAUUCCUGAUGAGUUUUGAGGCAGCUGUGACUUCAGCUGGGGGGAAUGAAACUGUAAUGGCGAAAUCCUUUGUGAUCGCGGCCGAAGGAGAUGCCUUGGCAUGGUACUCGAUGCUCAGGCCCGGGUCGAUCUAUUCAUGGGAGAACCUUCGUGACAAGAUUUUGGCAAACUUCCAAGGAUUCGCUGUUGAGUCACUAACCUCCACGGACCUGUUCCAGUGUCGCCAAAGUCAAGGAGAAGCACUGCGGGAAUACUUCCAAAGGUUCGUGCAGACUAAGGCAAGAGCGCCAGGCGUGCCGGAGGAGGUUGCCAUAGAGGCCGCCAUUAAAGGUCUUCGCAUAGGGCCCUUUGCAGCUCACUUGGCCAGAGAAAAGUCAGCGUCCAUGCACGAGCUGUACCAUGAGUUUGAGAAGUACUGCAAGUCAGACAACGACUUCCGCAGGAGGCUAGAGGAGCAGAACUCUCAGAAGAAACAGGGCAAUGACAGAAACUUGCAGAAGAAGAACCUUAGCCAAGAUGAGCACCGCCCACAGCGAGAGGCUGGUGGGCAGAUGAUGAAUAUUGAGCAACCAAGGAGCGACAAGCCGGGGCAUGACCGUCCGCCGGCAGAACCGCGAAACUCAGAGCGCGGAUCCAACCAAGCCGGAGGAGAAGGUCAGAACAGAGGGUGGCAAAAGAAUCAGAAGCAACGGCAGCGGAAGCAAUAUUAUUUCUUCCAUGGGGAGGAGAAGGGUCACUCCACCAGAGACUGCCCGGAUGCCAAAGAAACUCAGGAGAGGAUCAAGAGCAGGUCAGCUCCGCAACCUCCGCCGUCGACCGUGCAGCCGCGAGAGGUGAAUCACACAUUCCCACAAUCCUUCUACCACUCAUAUGUCGGAGGAUCAAGCCAGCAACACUCAGCUCCAAUUCAGCUCAGCGCGUUGGCUUCCGCCUACUAUCCCAGCUUUCUACCGGCUUGGCGCCCGGCACAGCAGCCCGCAGAGCACAACCUACAGCCAACCUACGCCCCCCGACCCCCACAGAUUACAUACAUCGAAACCCCGCAGCCCCAUCAGCAAUCGCUACCUCCUCCACCAAACCAACUGCAGCUAAUCCAAGCUCCUCCUCCACCAAAACCAGAACCCCACCCCGACAAUCAAAUCGGCCCCCACACACCACUGCCCACAAUUGGGAUGAUCUUGCCAAUAGCCGGGGGGUCCUCAAUGGAGUUCUAGACAAAGAAGCAGAAGAAGGAUCACCGAUUGGUCCAGAACCCCAAUAACCUUCACCGAGGAAGAUCUAAGGUUAGAAAGCUACCCACAUACGGAUGCAAUGGUCAUAACGGCGAAUGUUGCGGGAUGGGGGGUCAGCAGGAUGCUAGUAGACUCAGAAAGUUCCGCAGAUAUAAUAUUCGCUGGAUCCUUCGACCAAAUGAAGCUCAGCAGAAGCCAGCUCCAACCCUCGGAAUCACCUUUGUUCGGAUUCGGAGGAAAGCAGAUACACGCUCUGGGUAAGGUCGCCCUACCUGUAUCCUUUGGAACAUCGAAGAACGCAAGGACAGAGUAUGUCACCUUCGACGUGGUAGACCUGCAUUACCCAUACAAUGCCAUAUUCGGGCGGGGGUUCUUGAACAAAUUCAAUGCGGAUGCUCACAUGGGGUACCUGUGCAUGAAAAUCCCGGCUCUGCAUGGGGUGAUCACUGUGCACGGAAGUCAAAAAGAGGCGAGGAACAUAGAGAAAGAAAUUUACAAGUCCUUCUGAAACAUAAACUCGGUGGAUUCCACGCAAGAAGAAGCUUCCCAGCCACCAGACAUGCCAAGGGGGAAGACAGACCUGUUCGAUCAGGAGGAAACGAAAUGUGUCCCUUUGCAGGAGGUAGUACCAGAUAGGAAAGUCACCAUAUCCGCCACCCUUAGCAGAGAGGAGGAGCUUGAGUUGCUGGACGUGUUAUAGAAGAACCAGGAUAUCUUUGCCUGGAGCGCCACUAACCUGCAGGGAGUCAGCAGAGACAUCAUACAGCAUUCGCUGGACAUCGACCCAAGAAUGAGGCCGAAGAAAGAAAGACAGAGGAAGAUGUCUGAAGAGAGAACCUUAGCAGCGAAGGCAGAUGUGUAGAGACUUCUAGACGCAAAUGUCAUCAGAGAAAUCAAGUACCCAGAAUGGCUGGCGAAUGUGGUCCUCGUCCCCAAGAAGAAUGACAAAAUGAGAAUGUGCAUAGAUUUCACAGAUCUCAACAAAGCUUGUGUCAAAGACUCCUUCCCCUUGCCAAGGAUAGAUACCUAUGUCGACAAAGCCGCCGGUUGCCAAAGAUUUUCACUACUGAAUUGCUUCUCCGGGUACCACCAAAUUUGGCUCAAGAAGGAAGAUGAGGGAAAGGCAAGCUUCAUGACUCCGUUCGGCACGUAUUGCUAUACCAGAAUGCCAGAGGGUCUCAAGAAUGCUGGAGAAACCUUCUCCAUAAUGAUGAGGAAGGUCCUAGGAACUCAGCUGCAGAGAAACAUCAUAGCCUACGUUGACGACGUUGUCGUCAUGAGCAGGCGCAAAGAGGAUCAUAUCAGGGACCUGCAGGAAACCUUUGCCAACCUUAGAUCUGCCGGGCUGAAACUUAACCUGGAAAAAUGUGUGUUCGGGGUCAGCAAGGGAAAAAUGCUGGGGUACAUCAUUAGCUCCGAAGGAAUCAGAGCUAACCCAGACAAGACAAAGGCAAUCAUGUCAAUGGCAGAACCUUCGAGCAAGAAAGAAGUGCAAAGGUUGACAGGUCGAAUAGCAGCUCUCAACAGAUUCAUUUCAAGGUCUGCUGAACGAAGCCUUCCAUUCUUCAAAGUGCUAAGAGGAGGAGACAAAACAGAAUGGAGCCCGGAACAAUCAGAGGCCUUCAGGCAGCUCAAAAGCUACAUUAUGACGAAUCUGGUGGUAACUGUGCCCGAGCCGGACACUCCCCUACUACUGUAUGUGGCUGCCUCUGAGCACGCUGUCAGUGCUGUCUUGGUGCACGAGGCAAGUGAUAAUAAGGGAACAGUGCAAAGACCCAUCUACUAUGUGUCCGAAGCUCUGUCAGGAGCAAAGUUGAACUACACAGAGAUAGAAAAAAUCGCGUACACAGUCCUGUGCGCAUCAAGGAAGCUCAAGCAUUACUUCCAAAGCCAUGAGAUCAAGGUACCCACUUCACAGCCGUUGGGUGACAUCCUUAGGAACAAGGAGGCCUCUGGGCGUAUAGGGAAAUGGGUGGCUGAGCUAUCGCAGUUCGACAUCACCUAUGUCCCCAGAACCUCCAUCAAGUCGCAGGCCCUGGCCGACUUCGUGGCAGAUUGGACACCUUCGAGCAAAGAAGAGGAGAAGGUAGUCGACCAGCCAUGGACAUUGUAUACAGAUGGCGCCUGGGGCCAAUCAGGGGUAGGAGUAGCAGCUGUCCUGGUCGCACCGUCCGGCCUCAAGCUAAAGUAUGCCGCGAGACUUGAAUUCGGAGCGACAAACAACAUAGCCGAGUACGAAGGACUCAUCCUCGGGCUGAACAAAGCUAAGGCUUCGGGAGCCAAAACACUGCUCAUCAAAACAGACUCCUAGGUGGUGGCGGAACAAGUGGAAAAGGAGUACUUGGCACAUAACCCCGAGCUGGCAAGAUAUUUGGCCGUCGUAAGGGGGCUAGAGAGAAGGUUCAAGGGGUUCACCCUGCAGUACAUUCCAAGAGCUGAAAACUGCGAGGCAGAUGAGCUAGCCAAAGCAUCAGCCAACAACACUGCCCUACUAGAAGGAACCUUCUACCAAACCUUUGAAGCACCUGCAACCGAAUCGUUGCCAAAAGCUUUCCGCUCAGUCCUGCUGACGGAAGGCGAAGAUUGGAGACAGGCGAUAGCAGACUCCCUCAAAGGCAAGACAACCACAGAUUACGAAGCAUUAACCAAGACAAUGGAAGCAAGAGCAAGGAAUUACACCAUCAUUGACAGAAACUUAUACAAGAAAGGUGUAGUCCAACCUUUGCUGAAAUGCAUAUCACAAACCGAGGGUAGAGAACUACUACAAGAGUUACAUUCUGGGAUAUGCGGGUCACACAUCGGCCCCCACGCGUUGUCUGCCAAAGCAUUAAGACAAGGCUUCUACUGGCCAACUCACAUCAAAUAUGCUGAAGAGAUAGUGAAGACAUGCAAAGCCUGCCAAACCUUCUCGCCAAUUGAGUCAGGACCUUCAGCACCAACCCAGCUCAUAUCAGCAUCAUGGCCGUUGCAAAGAUGGGGAAUGGACCUGGUAGGACCGAUGCCAACCGCCCGGGGGGGAAACAAGUUCGCCGUCGUGGCCAUCAAAUACUUCACAAGAUGGAUCGAAGCUAAGCCACUGGCAACCAUAACCUCUGAAACAAUUAGGAAAUUUUUCUGGCAGAACACAGUCUGUAGAUUCGGAGUUCCAAGCCUACUCAUAGUUGACAACGGAAAGCAGUUCGAUUCAGACAGGUUCAAGGAAAUCUGCCACCACAUAGGAACCAAAAUUGCUUUCGUGUCUGUCUACCACCCAGGGUCAAACGGGGCAGUAGAGAGAGCAAACAGAAUAAUAUUCUCCGCAAUCUCCAAAACUCUACUCAACCUAUGAAAGGGGAAAUGGGUUGACGAGCUACCCAGAGUUGUGUGGUCUCACAACACAACAGUUUUAAGAGCGACUGGGUUCACACCAUUCAAACUCCUGUACGGGGAAGAGGCAAUGCUGCCCGAGGAAAUCAAACACCAAAGCCUACGCUCCAUGAAGCAGCAGUUGGCUAAAGAUGAAGAGUACUGCAAGGAAACUUUGGAAUCAACAAGACUGGAGGCAGUGGAGAACAUUACCAAGUACCAGCAAGAAACCAAAAAGUGGAGAGACCGCAAGGUAGUACGAAAAGACAUACAAGAUGGGGACCUGGUACUCAGGAAAAAAGGAGAUCACCCAAACGCUGGAAAACUGCAACCCAAGUGGGGAGGACCUUAUACAGCAAUACAAGCGAGAAGGUCGGGAUCCUUCUACCUCAAAGACCUCGAAGGAAGAACCUCCACCCACACGUGGAAACCAGAACAAUAUACGAAGAUUUUACAUCUGAGUGUAAGGAUGACCCCCGCAAAAUAAGCGGCGGCAUCCAUGUUUUUAGAUACAUCUAUUUUCUUUUCCCCCCUACCUUUUUGUAAUCCAAGGUCUGCACUCUUUUCCUCACAGGGGUACUCCUACUAGGAGGUGAGGUUUUUAACGAGGCAGAACCUAUGUAAAAACCUCUGAGAUAUAAAGAGGAAUCCACCCCAGAAGCAAAACUCAAAAGUCGAAAAACAGCCAACAACGAGGCUGUAGCAUUCGACGAAACAUCAUGUGAUUACAAGGACCCUCCGCAGCUUUUAACCAAAGGCUAAAAAAAAGCUCGGAACGUCCUCAACGGUGGAAAAACACCACAUCCUUAGCAAAAAGACCUGGCCAAGAGCCGGGCAGCAAGGACAACAUGGUCAAAAGUGAAAAAGCCCUAUCCAUAUCAGGCAUCACAAGACGGCCAGAAGGGACAAAACCUUCAAACCUGACAAAGACCUGAAGACAAUCAGGCAUCAGGGGCUAUACAACUUCUGCCAAAAGGUAGCGAAGGAUUCACAUUCACAAAGUAAACCUCACUAACAAUUACAUAACCUUCGCCAAGAUAAGGUCGAAGGUAUCCUGCAAAUCCAAGCAGGCCACCAACACACGAAGGGUGAAAAAUAAAGCCAAGCUUACAAUCACCCCAAGUCAAAGUAAAGCAAGACCAACUACUGCAACAAUCACAACAACCAAUAAUAACUAGAUAUUAAAUCCCAACCUAACAAAGUACACCCAAUAAAUAUAAGAAAGCCUAUAAAACUAGGCUCAUCCUGCCCACCACCCACAGUUAGGAUCAGUAUACACAAACCCAAACAGAUAGUGCAAGCCUAGCAGUCACAAAGGAAAGAACAUAGGCCACCAUGGAGGCAGGAGUUAGCCUCAUAGCAGCACAAAAAAUUGGUAUUGCACGAAGUUUCGUAAUGCUAGAGCCACGGCGUUGUGAUGAACAUCGACCACAGAGUCAUGUAUAGCCACAAUAAAAUCACUGCAAGUUAGAAUCGGAGGUCUCUGAAGGGCAUCGCAUGAAGUCUCGUAACAUGCCCUCAGAACCUCCGACUCACAUACCCGAAGGAUACCUUCGACAACACUCCACGGGAGUCGAGCAAAGGCAAAGAUGAGCUCAAUUCGGCAGAGGCUCCUUCGCACCAAGGCAAGCGAAGGCCCUAAGGUCAAGGAGCAGCAAGCCUACGCAUCCCACAUAUCCACCAGCGCCUUCGCUACAUCGAGCAUCAAGUAAUUAGUUGCAACAGCAACACAAAGAUCCUUAGGAUCAACGCUCGCUGCGCAUUCAACAAACACAUGUAAUCACAGUCAAAAAAUCCGAAGGUUGUAGUGAAAACAACACUAAGGUUGCGAAGGUUGCAAUAAAACACUUCUUAGAAAAACUUUUGUCUUUAUUUCUGAUAAACAGUAUGUACAACAAUUGUUCACAUCAAAAUAAAAAUUUCUCUACUUAUGAUAAGCUAAGUGACCUAAGAUCCUUCGUCAACAUAACUGACGAAGGAUCUAAGACUCACGUACAAAUCUCACACACGAGUCACCAAAGAUCCUAAAAUCGCUACAAUAGUCUCGAGCAAUAUAAUCGACCAAAUCAUCCACAUUGAGCGAAGGACGCGCGCCUCUCCACCAAUCCACCAACCAACCACUUGCGUAUAAGUCACCUCGUUUGAAUGUCACUGGAGUUACGUAACUUCCUUCGACAAAAUCCGAAGGAAGAACAUCACGCCUAGGAGAAGACCGAACGACCUGCGUAGAUAAGCUAACUUAAAACACACUGAACCAAGCGAAGGACCCAAACAAUCCAAAAAGCAUAAAUCUUGAACCUCCGCGCGCUCAGGCAGAAAACGCUCAUACAUAUCAUCAGGAUCCUCCAGCCAACCAGACUCAUCCGCAUCUUCUCCAAAAAUACGAAGGACCGGGUACGACGACUGCAGAAAUACAACAAACUAAAUCAAAAGAGGAAAGCCACAUAACCCAAGACAAAGAAAGCAUGAAAUGAAAACAACUACCUAAGCCGGAGGCCAUGGACCUCGGUACGCAAGCGACCGGAGGAAAUCAGAUCGCUCAUCGUCAAUAUCAAACUCGACAAAGUUGAACAUAUCAACCACACUAAGGUUAGGAAACGCAGUUCUCCAGUAUUCCCACAAGUCUCCCAACACAUAAAUCCCAUUAUAAAAGAUGGAAAGCGGAGCUUCGCAAAUAUCCUGCGCAGGUCCUCCGCUAGAGACCUACGCAGGUCCUCCGCUAGAGACCUGCGCAGGAUAAAACAUAAGACAAACAACCCACUGAAAACAAGUCGAAUAUAUUACAUAACUAGUAGUUCAUUACAAAGUCACUUAAACCUCGCCCCACUUUUUUACAAAAACGUCGCAUAAGAAGCAGACGCAAAAAACUAAGAAAAACCUACAAACUAAAAACCCUCACACCUGAGGCGGAGGAGGAGCAGGAGCUUCGGGUUCCCCUGGAGCCUUAGCACCAGAUCCCUCCGGAGCUUUGGCACCAGCCUCAGGAUCCUCCGUGCCAGCCUGAGCCGAAGGACGCGACGGACCAGCCUUGUCAGCCUUCGCCUUCUUCUUAGCAAGAUCCUGCGGACAGGAAGCCUUAAACCAAGGAAAAAUAAGCACAACACAAAAAGGGUAACGAAAAAAUGCUUACCUCAGCGCGGCGAGCCUUCGCCAUUUUCUUCACUCAACAAGCGGCAGGGGUGAGAGCCCACAGCUCCCCAGCAUCCCCUUUUAUAGGGGGGGCCUGCGGCCGCGUGACCGUUGCGAUUCCCCGCGCCCAACAGCUAUGAGCGGAGGACUCGGCGCGACCGUUGCGAUUCCCAAACUGUAACGGCUAACUCCAACCGCUAGCCGCGCAAAUAUCACACACCUCGCUAUCCUCCACGAUCUAAUAUGUGAAGGAUAGCAAAUUAUCAAAACAACAGACAACGAUCGGAGGAUCCUGAAAACCUAAACACACAAAGACAAUCCAUGGCUAAGUACAAGGAACAUUCCACUAUACUGCCAACAAGCACAUCCUGCACACCAGGGGGAAGGCAGCAACCAUGCUCGCAGCCUCCGCAGCGUGGCAUGUUUUUGAGCACAUGGACCGCAGGAGUGCCAUUAGCCCAAAAAGGGGGGAACUGUUGGGGGCUGGCCGCAUCCUUCCCCCUGGUAGCGUCGAAGGAUAUCCUUCACCCAAGAAACCUUCAUGCGAAUACGUGCGGAGGAUCCUGAGAAAAGACUAACGUUGACGACUCGUCUUAUCGUGCUAAGUGUAUGCAGGGACUGAGACACCCGCGGAGGUCCGCAAGCAGAGAAAGGAGGAGCCUCCGAUCCUCCCAAGUCCGAGGAUGGCGAGG
rnacentral:lncRNA from 1 species